GCUGGGUAUGGUGGCUCAUGCCUGUAAUUCCAGCACUUUGGGAGGCCGAGGCAGGCGGAUCACGAGGUCAGGAGAUCGAGACCAUCCUGGCUAACAUGGUGAAACCCGGGGUUUCACCAUGUUAGCCAGGAUGGUCUCGAUCUCCUGACCUCGUGAUCCGCCUGCCUCGG
rfam:Chlorocebus sabaeus isolate 1994-021 chromosome 16, whole genome shotgun sequence.